GAUUAUUUACUUCAGUUGGCCAUAUACUAAAGUUGGAAUGUUACGGAGAAGAUUAGAAUGAGCUCUGUGGAAAGAUAACAUGCAAAUGUAUCAAGUUCUAUGGUUUUUU